GAUGAAGAACGCAGCGAAAUGCGAAAAGUAGUGUGAAUUGCAGAAUUCAGUGAAUCAUCGAAUCUUUGAACGCACAUUGCGCCCGCUAGUAUUCUGGCGGGCAUGCCUGUUCGAGCGUCAUUUCAACCAUCAAGCCCUAGGCUUGCGUUGGAGCCCUGCGGCUGCCGCAGACUCCCAAAUCCAGUGGCGGGCUCGUCGUCGUACCGAGUGCAGUAAACAUCCUCGCUCAGGGAACGUGACGGGUUCUUGCCGUGAAACCCCCCACAUAUCAAGGUUGACCUCGGAUCAGGUAGGAAUACCCGCUGAACUUAAGCAUAUCAAUAAGCGGAGGA
rnacentral:misc_RNA from 1 species